UACAGAGGGUGCAAGCGUUAAUCGGAAUUAUUGGGCGUAAAGGGCUUGUAGGUUGUUCUAUAAGUUAGAUGUGAAAACCCUGGGCUUAACCUGGGACGUGCAUUUAAUACUGUAGAGCUAGAGUAUGGUAGAGGAGUAGGGAAUUCCUGGUGUAGCAGUGAAAUGCGUAGAGAUCAGGAGGAACAUCAGUGGCGAAGGCGCUACUCUGGACUAAUACUGACACUGAGGCGCGAGAGCGUGGGGAGCAAACAGG
rnacentral:rRNA from 1 species